AGCGAACGCUGGCGGCAGGCUUAACACAUGCAAGUCGAGCGGGCAUCCUUGUGGUGUCAGCGGCAGACGGGUGAGUAACGCGUGGGAACGUGCCCUUCGGUUCGGAAUAACUCAGGGAAACUUGAGCUAAUACCGGAUACGUGCGAGAGGAGAAAGGUUUAUCUGCCGAAGGAUCGGCCCGCGUCUGAUUAGCUAGUUGGUGAGGUUAUGGCUCACCAAGGCGACGAUCAGUAGCUGGUCUGAGAGGAUGAUCAGCCACACUGGGACUGAGACACGGCCCAGACUCCUACGGGAGGCAGCAGUGGGGAAUAUUGGACAAUGGGGGCAACCCUGAUCCAGCCAUGCCGCGUGAGUGAUGACGGCCUUAGGGUUGUAAAGCUCUUUUCUCCGGGACGAUAAUGACGGUACCGGAGGAAUAAGCCCCGGCUAACUUCGUG
rnacentral:rRNA from 1 species